UACGAAGGGUGCUAGCGUUGUUCGGAAUCACUGGGCGUAAAGCGCGCGUAGGCGGCUUUUCAAGUCAGGGGUGAAAUCCCACGGCUCAACCGUGGAAUUGCCUUUGAAACUGUAAAGCUUGAGUGUCGGAGGGGAUAGGCGGAAUUCCUAAUGUAGAGGUGAAAUUCGUAGAUAUUAGGAGGAACACCGGUGGCGAAGGCGGCUAAUCUGGACGACAACGUGACGCUGAGGCGCGAAAGCGCGGGGAUCAAACAGGG
rnacentral:rRNA from 1 species